rnacentral:rRNA from 1 species
GAUUGAACGCUGGCGGCAGGCUUAACACAUGCAAGUCGAGCGGAGAGAGGUAGCUUGCUACUGAUCUUAGCGGCGGACGGGUGAGUAAUGCUUAGGAAUCUGCCUAUUAGUGGGGACAACAUUUCGAAAGGAAUGCUAAUACCGCAUACGUCCUACGGGAGAAAGCAGGGGAUCUUCGGACCUUGCGCUAAUAGAUGAGCCUAAGUCGGAUUAGCUAGUUGGUGGGGUAAAGGCCUACCAAGGCGACGAUCUGUAGCGGGUCUGAGAGGAUGAUCCGCCACACUGGGACUGAGACACGGCCCAGACUCCUACGGGAGGCAGCAGUGGGGAAUAUUGGACAAUGGGCGCAAGCCUGAUCCAGCCAUGCCGCGUGUGUGAAGAAGGCCUUAUGGUUGUAAAGCACUUUAAGCGAGGAGGAGGCUACUUUAGUUAAUACCUAGAGAUAGUGGACGUUACUCGCAGAAUAAGCACCGGCUAACUCU